rnacentral:rRNA from 1 species
GACUGCAGGCUGCAACUCGCCUGCACGAAGUUGGAAUUGCUAGUAAUCGUGGAUCAGCAUGCCACGGUGAAUACGUUCCCGGGUCUUGUACACACCGCCCGCCACACCAUGGGAGCCGGUAAUACCCGAAGUCAGUAGUCUAACCGCAAGGAGGACGCUGCCGAAGGUAGGAUUGGCGACGUGGGGUGAAGUCGUAACAAGGUAAC